rnacentral:rRNA from 1 species
AGCAGCCGCGGUAAUUCCAGCUCCAAUAGCGUAUAUUAAAGUUGUUGCAGUUAAAAAGCUCGUAGUUGAAUUUCGGGAUCAAUACGUCGGUCGUGCUUCGGUACGUACUGGCGUAAUUGAUUUCUCCCUUCUGACGAACCAUGAUGUCAUUAACUUGGUGUCAUGGGAAAUCAGGACUGUUACUUUGAAAAAAUUAGAGUGUUUAAAGCAGGCUCACGCUUGAAUACAUUAGCAUGGAAUAAUGAAAUAGGACGUUCGAUCCUAUUUUGUUGGUUUUUAGGAUCAACGUAAUGAUUAAUAGGGAUAGUUGGGGGCAUUAGUAUUCAAUUGUCAGAGGUGAAAUUCUUGGAUUUAUUGAAGACUAACUACUGCGAAAGCAUUUGCCAAGGAUGUUUUCAUUAAUCAAGAACGAAAGUUAGGGGAUCGAAGACGAUCAGAUACCGUCGUAGUCUUAACCAUAAACUAUGCCGACUAGGGAUC